rfam:Oryza sativa Japonica Group DNA, chromosome 5, cultivar: Nipponbare, complete sequence.
AAUAAAUGACGCCGUUAACUUUUUAUCACAUAUUUGACCAUUCGUCUUAUUCGAAAAAUUUACGUAAUUAUAAUUUUUUUUGUUGUGAGUUGUUUUAUCACUUAAAGUACUUUAAGCAUGAUUUAUAUUUAUACAUUUAUAUAAAAUUUUUUGAAUAAGACGAAUGUUCAAAUAUAUGUUCAAAAGUCAACGGCGUCAUCUAUU